rnacentral:lncRNA from 1 species
UAGCAAACCUCACCACCACCCGUCACACGCCUUGGCUGGCUCUCCCCGCUCGUCGAUCGAUCGAUCCUCCCCUCCCUCCCACGCCUUUGUCUUCCACCGCGCGCCGCCCAGCCAAAAUUCACUCGCUCCUCCACACAACCGCCCGCCCGUCCCCCCCACCCACGCGGCGCGUCACCUACCACCACCGCAUCGAUCUCGUCCACCGUCCAGGUUGAGGGAGAGGGGAGUUGGUGAGGAGGGGAGGGGAGAUCAGAGCAGCAUCCUCGUAAGGCGCGCCGGCAAUUAGGAUUUAGGACUCGUGCUUGCAUUACCGGAAAACCUAAUCUCUUCCUCGCUCGACGAGGAGGGGAGGGGAGGUGAGGUGAGGGGGGGAGCUAGAGAACAAAGGCUUGGUUUGGUGCCAUCUGGCGUCUCCGAUGGCGUAACC